UACAGAGGGUGCGAGCGUUGUUCGGAAUCAUUGGGCGUAAAGCGCUUGUAGGCGGCCUGUCAAGUCGCGUGUGAAAUCCCUUGGCUUAACCAAGGAAGUGCGCGCGAAACUGGCGGGCUUGAGUGCCGGAGAGGGUCGCGGAAUUCCCGGUGUAGGAGGUGGAAAUUCGUAGAUAUCGGGAGGAACACCAGUGGCGAAGGCGGCGACCUGGACCGGACACUGACGCUGAGACGGCGAAAGCCGUGGGAGCAAACAGG
rnacentral:rRNA from 1 species